CCUCUGCUGGGCAUUUCGUCGAGCACUUGGUGUGACCGGAGUUUCACCACUACUUUUCCCGGCUUCCAUAAGGUCGUCUGACUCCAUUUGCCCCUCUGUGCGUCCGCCCCUGUCACUCUGAAAGUUGAAGUAGAGCUACAGUUCUGCAGACCCAUAGAAUUGCAAUGAACAGGAAAAGAGAGCCAGCAAAUAAUGCUACCAACUGGGAGCAUUCUCAUUUGCAAAUGUUUAUGCAAGACUUGGCAAGAUCUAAUUUCGGACCAUGAAUUUGCUAAGCUGCACUUUGCACAAGCAGAGUCCUACCCUUUGGUCCGGCCCUUUAAUCCAACCCGUGUGUCAAGAACCCUUUAUCUGGUCGAGCCUGAAGAUAGCUCUGAUUUUGAUUUCGAGCACAGCAACUGCACGUGUUAUGAUGCCUCUGACUUUCUUUUUAAUGAGUGCAAUGGGCAUCAGUUCCACAUGAAUCUUGCCAAACCAUUGCGCAAUGCUGAGGAAGUACUCAAUACCCACAAUGAUGCCAAUAGGAAAUCUGGAACUAAAAAGAAGCUUUGAUUUAAGGUAUGUCCAGCUGGUCACAAGUAUGAGGUGGUGAAUUCGUGUAACGGAUUGCUUUGCUUGUCUAAACCAUUCAUCAAUGACCCUGUUGUUGUGUGCAACCCAAUAACCGUCCGAAGACUAACCAGUACAAGGUGAUAAGAA